rnacentral:rRNA from 1 species
UACAGAGGGUGCGAGCGUUGUCCGGAAUCACUGGGCGUAAAGGGCGCGUAGGUGGCGGCAUAAGGCCGCGGUGAAAGUUCGGGGCUCAACCCUGAAUCGGCCGCGGCGACUGUGUUGCUAGGGCACCGGUAGAGGCAGAUGGAAUUCCGGGUGUAGCGGUGGAAUGCGUAGAGAUCCGGAAGAACACCAGUGGCGAAGGCGGUCUGCUGGGCGGUGGGUCCGCGAGGACCCAAUAGCCGACACUGAGGCGCGACAGCGU